UACGAAGGGGGCUAGCGUUGUUCGGAUUUACUGGGCGUAAAGGGCGCGUAGGCGGAUUUUUAAGUCAGGGGUGAAAUCCCAAGGCUCAACCUUGGAACGGCCUUUGAUACUGGGAAUCUUGAGUCCGGGAGAGGUGAGUGGAACUGCGAGUGUAGAGGUGAAAUUCGUAGAUAUUCGCAAGAACACCAGUGGCGAAGGCGGCUCACUGGCCCGAUACUGACGCUGAGGCACGAAAGCGUGGGGAGCAAACAGG
rnacentral:rRNA from 1 species